rnacentral:rRNA from 1 species
CUACCAAGGCAACGAUGGGUAGCCGAUCUAGAGGAUGAUCGGCCACACUGGAACUGAAACACGGUCCAGACUCCUACGGGAGGCAGCAGUGGGGAAUAUUGCGCAAUGGGCGAAAGCCUGACGCAGCGACGCCGCGUGAGGGAUGAAGGUCUUCGGAUCGUAAACCUCUGUCAGAAGGGAAGAAACUAGGGUGCUCUAAUCAUCAUCCUACUGACGGUACCUUCAAAGGAAGCACCGGCUAACUCCGUGCCAGCAGCCGCGGUAAUACGGAGGGUGCAAGCGUUAAUCGGAAUCACUGGGCGUAAAGCGCACGUAGGCUGUUAUGUAAGUCAGGGGUGAAAUCCCACGGCUCAACCGUGGAACUGCCCUUGAUACUGCACGACUUGAAUCCGGGAGAGGGUGGCGGAAUUCCAGGUGUAGGAGUGAAAUCCGUAGAUAUCUGGAGGAACAUCAGUGGCGAAGGCGGCCACCUGGACCGGUAUUGACGCUGAGGUGCGAAAGCGUGGGGAGCAAAUAGGAUUAGAUACCCUGGUAGUCCACGCCGUAAACGAUGGACGCU